rnacentral:rRNA from 1 species
GGGGAAUAUUGCACAAUGGGCGCAAGCCUGAUGCAGCGACGCCGCGUGAGGGAUGACGGCCUUCGGGUUGUAAACCUCUUUCACCAGGGACGAAGAGUGAUUGACGGUACCUGGAGAAGAAGCACCGGCCAACUACGUGCCAGCAGCCGCGGUAAUACGUAGGGUGCGAGCGUUGUCCGGAAUUACUGGGCGUAAAGAGCUCGUAGGCGGUUUGUCGCGUCGUUCGUGAAAUCUUGAUGCUUAACAUCAAGCGUGCGGGCGAUACGGGCAGACUUGAGUACUACAGGGGAGACUGGAAUUCCUGGUGUAGCGGUGAAAUGCGCAGAUAUCAGGAGGAACACCGGUGGCGAAGGCGGGUCUCUGGGUAGUAACUGACGCUGAGGAGCGAAAGCGUGGGUAGCGAAC